GCAGGAAGCCGGCAGCCACCCUGUUAGCCGAGAAGAGGAAAGCUGUGGUUGGUAACCCCGCCGCAACCAUCCCGCGCCGCGUCCGUGGGAGCAUGGAGACCGGAAUUGUCCUCCCACAGCCCCCGGAGAGCGAGGCCAGGAGAGCCCCCGAGGGUGAUGGUGGCAAGGAUGGUGAUGACACGAGCAGGAAUCCCUUUGCAGGGCUGGUGAGCCACCUGCGGGCAUCCUGGCUGUCUGGGAAGACUCGGCCCAUGGAAUACCGCAGGACCCAGCUGGAGGCCCUGGGACACUUCCUGGAUGACAAGAAGCAGCAGAUCCUGGAGGCCACUGCCUCUGACUUGGGCAAGCCACCCUUUGAAGCGGAAUUGUCUGAGAUAUUCCUGUGCAAGAACGAGCUCCAUGAGACCCUGAACAACCUGUCCCGCUGGAUGAAGGACGAGCAUGUGGACAAGAACCUGGCGAUGCAGCUGGACUCUGCCUUCAUCCGCAAGGACCCCUACGGGGUGGUGCUCAUCAUAGCGCCCUGGAACUACCCCAUCCACCUCCUCCUGGUGCCCCUCAUCGGGGCCAUCGCUGCUGGGAACUGUGCCAUCAUCAAACCCUCAGAGGUGUCCAAGGAGACAGAGAGAAUCGUGGCAGAAGCGCUGCCCAGCUACCUGGACAAGGACUGCUUUGCUGUGGUGACCGGUGGCGUGCCAGAGACCACCAGGCUGCUGGAGAACAAGUUUGACUACAUCUUCUUCACUGGCAGCCCCGCGGUGGGGCGGAUCGUGAUGACGGCCGCUGCCAAGCACCUGACGCCGGUGACACUGGAGCUGGGGGGCAAGAACCCCUGCUACGUGUCCGACACCUGCGACGUGACCAACGUGGCGCGGCGCGUGGCCUGGGGCCGCUUCUUCAACGCGGGGCAGACCUGCAUCGCGCCCGACUACCUGCUCUGCACCGUGGAGAUGCAGGAGAAGCUCAUCCCAGCCCUGCGUAAGGCCGUCGAGGAUUUCUAUGGCCCCAACCCCCGCGAAUCGCCGGAUUUCGGCCGCAUUGUGAGUGACAAGCAGUUCCGGCGGCUCCGGGCGCUGCUGUGCAGUGGGCGCGUGGCCCUCGGGGGACAGACGGACGAGGCAGAACGCUACAUCGCCCCCACGGUGCUGACGGACGUGCAGCCCUCAGAUCCUGUCAUGCAGGAGGAGAUCUUCGGGCCCAUCCUGCCCAUUGUUGUCAUCGCCAACAUGGAUGAAGCCAUCGACUUCAUCAACAGCCGGGAGCGGCCCUUGGCCCUCUACGCCUUCUCCUCCGAUGACAAGGUGGUGAACCAAGUCCUGGAGCGGACGAGCAGUGGAGGCUUCUGUGGCAAUGACACCCUGAUGCACUUCACACUGACCUCGGUGCCCUUCGGAGGCAUUGGGAACAGUGGCCUGGGGAUGCACCACGGGAAGUUCAGCUUCGACACCUUCUCCCACCACCGCGGGUGCCUGAAGCGCGGGAUGGGCUGGGAGCCCCUCAACGCCCCGCGCUACCCCCCCUACACCCAGCAGAAAUUCGGGGUCGUCCGGGCCACUUCCAAGGUGACACGUAAGAGCGGCUGUACCCUGCUCUGAUGAUCCUCUGGAGCCUCCCCGCCCAGCACAUCUCCUGCUGCUGCUCCUGGUGCCCAGGUGCAAUGAAAGCCCGUGACGGCACUCCCACCAAUGAGAAGCUCGUCCGCCGCCGUUCGCCUCGCCCACGACGCGCCGCCGCACGCGCACGCGUAGUGCCCGCGGGGGCGGCCAGGGGUCAGGACGCCGGAGGCCCUUGGGGCAG